AGCGAACGCUGGCGGCAGGCCUAACACAUGCAAGUCGAACGAACCCUUCGGGGUUAGUGGCGGACGGGUGAGUAACACGUGGGAACAUGCCUUUAGGUUCGGAAUAACUCAGGGAAACUUGUGCUAAUACCGAAUGUGCCCUUCGGGGGAAAGAUUUAUCGCCUUUAGAGCGGCCCGCGUCUGAUUAGCUAGUUGGUGAGGGAAAGGCUCACCAAGGCUACGAUCAGUAGCUGGUCUGAGAGGAUGACCAGCCACAUUGGGACUGAGACACGGCCCAAACUCCUACGGGAGGCAGCAGUGGGGAAUCUUGCGCAAUGGGCGAAAGCCUGACGCAGCCAUGCCGCGUGGAUGAUGAAGGUCUUAGGAUUGUAAAAUCCUUUCACCGGUGAAGAUAAUGACUGUAGCCGGAGAAGAAGCCCCGGCUAACUUCGUGCCAGCCGCCGCAGUAACAC
rnacentral:rRNA from 1 species